GUAAUUGCAAAAUAAUCGCAAACAGCAUUUUGAAAUUUAAUACAUUUUAUGUUCUACAUCUAAGUAGAGUACAAGGGUCGAAAUUGGUCGSACCAGUCAUUAAUGACUUAAAACUGUGUAAACAUGGUUAAAUUCUAAUAUGUCAACGUAGUUUAAUAUCAACAAAUGAAUGUCUGGUUUAGUUGUUUGAAGAGCAAUGGCGUCAGUUGAAAGCGAAGUGUGGAGAUUUUCUAAUAAAAUGAGCAAUAACUACGUUAAAUAUGAACUUUGCUGCAAAAAUUUAAAAUUUUCUAAUAACACAUCAAAUAAGUUGCAGCAUUUAAAAUUAAAGCAUGCAGCUGUAGCCUGCAAAUUGGUGGUGAUGAUGAGACUGACACCAUGAUUGAAAUGCCGAGUUGCAGCAGCAAACCAAUUAAUAAAAGCCCUUUGAAAGAGGGGCCAAGCUUCAGCAGCAGGAAACCGAAUGAAAGCAGCGUGAGAGAGCUACCCAGCUGUAGCAGUAAAAAUCCUCAAUCCCUCAUUGCUAACGUCUUCAAAAAUAUUAAAAACUUUUCGCUCCAUGGCUCAAAGAACCAAAAGCUACAGCAUGGAAUAGUGGAAAUGGUUAUCAAGGAUAAUCUACCUUUUGACUUUGCUGAAGUAAAGGCUUCCUAAGUUUCAUGAAGCAACAUUUUCCUCUUUACAAAUUCCCAACAAGAAAUACCAUCAAGGCUCACAUUGAAAUGUGCGAUGAAGAAAAAGAAAAAUGUGUAGCGAUGCUAAAAACUUUUUUAUAUUUGAGUUUAACGACAGAUAUCUGGACAGGUGUAGAAAUGAAUAACAUGCUUGGUGUGACCAUUCAUGGUGUAAAUGGGGCGAGCAAUUUAAUAGAACAAUUGGCGUUAGUAAAUUAGCGGAAGCACAUACUGCAUCACAUAUUUCCGAAGUUCUCAUUGCUGCUUUGAAAGACUUUUCUAUUGACGAAAAACAAGUAAUGGCUGUAGUUACCGGCAAUAGU